rnacentral:misc_RNA from 1 species
GAUGAAGAACGCAGUGAAAUGCGAUAAGUAAUGUGAAUUGCAGAAUUCAGUGAAUCAUCGAAUCUUUGAACGCACAUUGCGCCCCCUGGUAUUCCGGGGGGCAUGCCUGUUCGAGCGUCAUUUCACCACUCAAGCCUCGCUUGGUAUUGGGCAACGCGGUCCGCCGCGUGCCUCAAAUCGACCGGCUGGGUCUUCUGUCCCCUAAGCGUUUGGAAACUAUUCGCUAAAGGGUGCUCGGGAGGCUACGCCGUAAAACAAACCCAUUUCUAAGGUUGACCUCGGAUCAGGUAGGGAUACCCGCUGAACUUAAGCAUAUCAAUAAGCGGAGGA